GAAUAUUGCUCAAUGGGCGCAAGCCUGAAGCAGCGACGCCGCGUGGGCGAUGAAGGUCUUCGGAUCGUAAAGCCCUUUUCUGCGUGACGAGAAAGGACGGUAGCGCAGGAAGAAGUCUCGGCUAACUACGUGCCAGCAGCCGCGGUAAAACGUAGGAGACGAGCGUUAUCCGGAAUUACUGGGCGUAAAGCGCGAGUAGGCGGCUAUUUAAGUGGUCUGUGAAAGCGUCCGGCUCAACUGGACGAGGCCGGAUCAGACUGGAUGGCUGGAGGGUCAGAGAGGCAGGCGGAAUUCCGGGUGUAGUGGUGAAAUGCGUAGAGAUCCGGAGGAACACCAGUGGCGAAGGCGGCCUGCUGGCUGACAACUGACGCUGAGGCGCGAAAGCAUGGGGAGCGAACGGG
rnacentral:rRNA from 1 species